CGGGGUGGAGUAAUGUCUGGGAAACUGCCUGAUGGAGGGGGAUAACUACUGGAAACGGUAGCUAAUACCGCAUAGCGUCGCAAGACCAAAGAGGGGGACCUUAGGGCCUCUUGCCAUCGGAUGUGCCCAGAUGGGAUUAGCUAGUAGGUGGGGUAAAGGCUCACCUAGGCGACGAUCCCUAGCUGGUCUGAGAGGAUGACCAGCCACACUGGAACUGAGACACGGUCCAG
rnacentral:rRNA from 1 species